UACGUAGGGUGCAAGCGUUGUCCGGAUUUAUUGGGCGUAAAGAGUUCGUAGGCGGUACAUUAAGUCUGGUGUUAAAGACUGGCGCUCAACGCCAGCAUGGCAUUGGAAACUGGUGAACUAGAGUGUGUCAGAGGUUACGGGAAUUCCUGGUGUAGCGGUGAAAUGCGUAGAUAUCAGGAGGAACACCGGUGGCGAAAGCGCGUAACUGGGGCAUAACUGACGCUGAGGUGCGAAAGCUAGGGUAGCAAACGGG
rnacentral:rRNA from 1 species